UUUCAACGUUUUAACAGGUGAGCUGUUCUUUUCAUUUCAGUGACUUCAGUCCUUGCUGCUCUCUUUCAUUUCUCACAGUUUGGGGAGUCUCAAGUAAGUCGAUUCCUUUCUUCUUUGAUCUCAUUUUGUAUUAUUUCUUUUUAUCCAUAUAAUUUUAAUUUUUUCUAGUUGAUCUGAUUCAUUUGCAUGUAAUUUUUCUUUUGGGAAGGAAAAAUUAGGAAAGUAAUUCAGAAGUCAAUAUAGAUCAUAUAUGGAGUUUUUUUUUUAAUAUAACCCAGAAACAAAAUCAUUAUAAUCUGAUGAGUUUCUUUUUGGGUAGUCAUCAAAUCAUUUUAAAAUAGAACUUUGUAUAUCAAGAUUCAAGAAUUUUUUUUUCCCUUCAUAUUAUCUUUUUGUUUUUCAAAAAUUCUUGAAAUCCAGCAACUGUACCCUGGGAUAGGGCUUCCUCAUCUUCACUAGAACUGGUGUAAAUGCUUGUAUGUGCUUCAGUCUAGACCUGAUUAAUGUAUGCUGCAGCUGAUAAAGUGAACUUACAAAACCAACUUACCAAGUUUUUAUUUGUUCUGCUAAAAAAUCGCAGGUUCCCAGUUUUUGAUUUAUUCCUAAGAAAAAAAAUCUUCUAGGAAGAAAGUCAUAGAAAGUGAUCCUUAAUUUCAGUAAGAAGGAUUAAUUGAAUUCUGGUGAUAACCACACUGAAGUUGCCUCUCCAUGCCUGAUAAUCUUUCUAUCAUGUUUAGGAAUUUUCGUACCAAAUGGGAUGGAACAAUUUCCCCCAUUUGCAGUGCGAUUAUAGGGAAUUUGACUGAAUUUUUUUUCAUGGUGGAGUUGAGCUGUAUGAUUCUAUGCAAAAAAUUGGGGCAAAUCAAUAUUGUGGUUAUAUACUUUAUAUUUUCACAGGAAUUAUUUAUCUGUGAAUGUUUUGGUUGCAGAAGGCCUACAUGUCUCUGUUUCUUGAAAUCUUGCGGUGUGUUCUUUGUUGUGUUGGAGAUCGUAGAGAUGAAAAUGAUGAUGAAACAUAUUAUGUAAACACUUCAUGGGAACCAAGGGUGUCACAAAGUAUUGUUCCUUUUAAUUUCAGGGCAAUAUUUGGUUCAAGGUCAAGUAAUUCAGCAAAAAAUGGAUCCACAUAUGUUAACUCAGUGGAAAGAAUAUAUGAUGUGUCUGGUAGUUCAAAUAGAAAUUCCAGUAGUCCAGAAACAUCUUCCUGUUGGCUACCACAAUCUUCAUCCAAAGAAGCCACAUCUUCUUCAAGUCCAACUCCAUCAAGACCUAAACCCCCAGCAUCUUCUUCUUACCAACCUCAAUCACUAACAAGGGAUAUAACUUCUUCUAAACCAUCUCUGCUCUCUCCUGCACCCCCAAUUUCAUCAAAAUCAUCCCCCCAGGCACCUAAACUCCCACUAUCUUCGAACCAAGCCCAACCAUUAAUACCAGAAAUACCUUCUUCUAAACCAUCCCCAGUCUCUCUUACAGCUCCAACUUCUUCAUUAAAACCAUCCCCUCAAGCACCUUCAACUUCUUCUAAGCCAUCUCCAUUAUUCUCUGUAACUACAGCAUCUUCUUCCAAAACUAAUCCUAAAGCACCUCCUUCUUCCUUGGGCCCUUCUGCAUCAUCAUCCAAGCCACCUCCGACUUUUAAGCCAACUCUAACUCCAGCUUCUGCAUAUGUCAUCAAAAGCAGUCAAAAGCCACCUAUUCCUGAAUUCCAAAAAUCCUAUUCUGAACCAUCUCCAUCACCCUCUGAGCCUCUUCCAUCUUUUAAGCCAACACUGGCUCCAGCUUCCUCAAGUGUCACUAGUCAACAGACAAAAGCCAACUAUGUAUUUGUUCAAAAGAAUGCAUCACCUAUUUAUAUGAUUCCCAAGGAUAUUAAAGAUUUGAUCAAGAACGACAGGGUGCCUGGAGUUCUGAAAAAGCCAUUGUCUAUGUCAACAUAUAAGGAUUAUUUUGCUGCUCUUCUUUAUGCUGAAGACUUCUAUAUUGAGAAAUGGAGUGAAUUCAAAUUGGAGAAUAUCACAUUAAAGUUGCAACAAGCAUCAAUCUUUAAACUGUCAUCCUUCUCAGAGAGUCAUGAGAAGGAUAAUAAAACCUUGGUGACAUUUGAGAUUGACUCAUGUCAUGAGAGGCGGCCAUUUCUUUUAUCAAGGGACUUUGCCUUUGCAAGGCCUUCAGGAAAUAAAACAGAGCCAUUUCAGGGUGUUAUCUACCGAGUGGUGAGGAGCACAACUGUGCUAGUUGAAUUCGGUGAAGAUUUUUAUGCUCAGCAUCAUCCAUCUCGCAGAUAUGAUGUUAGCUUCUCAUUUAACAGAGUUUGUUUAAAAAGGGCUCAUCAAGCAGUUGAAGCCGCUUCAGAUCCUUUAUUUAAAAGUUACAUUUUCCCUGAUUGUGACUUCAGAAAGAGACACUCUGCAUCAUCAACUGCCUAUUUUAAUUAUAAACUUGAUGCAGAUCAAACAUCCGCGGUUCGUCAGAUCCUAGCCUUUCAGGGGCCACCACCUUAUCUCAUUGAGGGCCCACUCUGUGUAACUAAACCAAAAAGGUAUGAAUGUAAACAACUAUCAAAAACUGGAUUGGUUAUCCAAGAAGCAGUGCUUGAAAUUUAUAGAAGCUCUCAAAAGCACCGAGUUCUUUUAUGUGCACCUAUUAACAGCACAUGUGAUUUGCUGACAAGAAGCUUGAUGAAGCACAUUCCUGAAUCGGAAAUUUUUCGAGCUAAUGCUGCAUUUCGAGAGAUAGAUGGGGUGCCUACUGAUAUCCUUCCUUCAUGUAUUUAUGAAGGUGAAUGUUUUUCUUGUCCUCGUCUUCAGGAACUCCGGAAAUAUAGAGUAAUAUUGUCAACUUAUGUGAGUAGCUUCCGGCUACAUAAUGAAGGCAUUGCUGCUGGACAUUUUAGUCACAUUUUCUUGGUGGAUGCCUCAUCAGCUACUGAGCCUGAGGCAAUGGUGGCACUGGCUAAUUUGGCUAAUGAGAAAACUGCUGUAAUAGUCACUGGUGCACCAGGAAACCAUUCAGGUUGGGUCCGCUCUGAUAUUGCUAGGAAAAAUGGACUGAUGGAUUCAUACUUUGAAAGACUUCGCGAGAGAAAUCCAUACAAUAGACUUGAUUCAAUGUUUAUCACAAAAUUGGUCAGCGUCGAGCGCAAAUCAGAUGAUACAGAUAGCUUUCAGUCAUUCUCCUUCUAUUAAUUUGCUCUUUCAUAAACGGCAGCAGUGUCUCCCAACUCUUAACUUUUUGGAUCUUUUAGUUCUUUUUGUGUUGUGUCUUUCAAUGCAUGUGUAAAAUCCAUGAAGUCUGCUGUAAGUUGCUUACCACUUGCUUGUGGAUAUAAUGCUUAUAUAGUUUUUGCAUUUUGUGCAUUUUUGCGAGUGAGUUGAAAGAUAUAUGCACUUUUGUGAUUAUCUUGGUCACUUUUCAGAAGCAUAUCUGGGACCAGAUAUCUAUAGUAUGCCCAGAAUUUUGUUUUCUAGACAAGUAGUCACCAGGCAAAAUACAACAUUGUGCAUUGUACCGGCAAGACUCUGCUAUUUAGCCAAGAGAAUUGCUACUCUGUGCC
rnacentral:misc_RNA from 1 species